GUUGAACGCUAGCGGGAUGCUUUACACAUGCAAGUCGAACGAGUGGAGGACGGGUGAGUGAUAUAUCGAAACGUGCCCAGUAGAGGGGGAUGACGACUCGAACGAGUGGAUAAUGGCGCAAACGGUGGUAGCGGGCGAUAUCGGAUUAGCUAGUUGGUGGGGUAAAGGCUCACCAAGGCAACGAUCCGUAGCUGGGUUGAGAGGACGACCAGCCACACUGGGACUGAGACACGGCCCAGACUCCUACGGGAGGCAGCAGUGGGGAAUGUUGGACAAUGGGGGAAACCCUGAUCCAGCCAUCCCGCGUGUAUGAGAAGGCCUUCGGGUUGUAAAGUACUUUUGGCAGAGAAGCGGUAUCUGCAGAAUAAGCACCGGCUAACUACGUGCCAGCAGCCGCGGUAAUUC
rnacentral:rRNA from 1 species